rnacentral:lncRNA from 1 species
UCAAGGAGGAGAAUACUUGUCUAGUGAGUUUCUUGAUUAUUUAAAAUAAAAUAGAAUACUCUCUCAAUAAAUAUCUCCUUAUACUCCAUAAUUAAAUAAAAUUACAGAAAGGAGGAAUCAUACCUUAUUAGAUAUGGUCCAAUCCAUGAUGUGUUUCACGGACCUUCCGAUAUCUUUCUGGGGAUAUGCUCUCGAGGCCAUAGUG